rnacentral:rRNA from 1 species
GAUGAACGCUGGCGGCGUGCCUAAUACAUGCAAGUCGAGCGAACGGACGAGAAGCUUGCUUCUCUGAUGUUAGCGGCGGACGGGUGAGUAACACGUGGAUAACCUACCUAUAAGACUGGGAUAACUUCGGGAAACCGGAGCUAAUACCGGAUGAUAUUUUGAACCGCAUGGUUCAAAAGUGAAAGACGGUCUUGCUGUCACUUAUAGAUGGAUCCGCGCUGCAUUAGCUAGUUGGUAAGGUAACGGCUUACCAAGGCAACGAUGCAUAGCCGACCUGAGAGGGUGAUCGGCCACACUGGAACUGAGACACGGUCCAGACUCCUACGGGAGGCAGCAGUAGGGAAUCUUCCGCAAUGGGCGAAAGCCUGACGGAGCAACGCCGCGUGAGUGAUGAAGGUCUUCGGAUCGUAAAACUCUGUUAUUGGGGAGGAACAUAUGUGUAAGUAACUGUGCACAUCUUGACGGUACCUAAUCAGAAAGCCACGGCUAACUACGUG